GACGAACGCUGGCGGCGUGCUUAACACAUGCAAGUCGAACGGAAAGGCCCUGCUUUUGUGGGGUGCUCGAGUGGCGAACGGGUGAGUAACACGUGAGUAACCUGCCCUUGACUUUGGGAUAACUUCAGGAAACUGGGGCUAAUACCGGAUAGGAGCUCCUGCUGCAUGGUGGGGGUUGGAAAGUUUCGGCGGUUGGGGAUGGACUCGCGGCUUAUCAGCUUGUUGGUGGGGUAGUGGCUUACCAAGGCCUUGACGGGUAGCCGGCCUGAGAGGGUGACCGGCCACAUUGGAACUGAGAUACGGCCCAGACUCCUACGGGAGGCAGCAGUGGGGAAUAUUGCACAAUGGGCGGAAGCCUGAUGCAGCAACGCCGCGUGCGGGAUGACGGCCUUCGGGUUGUAAACCGCUUUCGCCUGUGACGAAGCGUGAGUGACGGUAAUGGGUAAAGAAGCACCGGCUAACUACGUG
rnacentral:rRNA from 1 species